AUGUCCCAGUUAGAAGGAUCCCUUUGGGAACCUCUCAGGAGGGGGACCUGGACCAAGGGCUUGGCCGACACCUCACUGGCAGUUCCAAGGCCCUGGUGGCUUC
rnacentral:lncRNA from 1 species